rnacentral:lncRNA from 1 species
GGCACCCAUCAGCAUCCAGCAGAAACCAUCGAUCGAUCGAUCGCCGGACACAGCAUCGAUUCUCCUCGCACACGCACAUACGGAUUCAGUCGAUCGAUAGAUAUACGUGAUGGAGAAUGAGAGGAACAACCAGGCUCCACCCCUACCCCCAGGUUAGUUAAUUUCGACCAGUUUUGAUCUCCACGCUCAUGUCUGAAAACCGAGGCUGAACUCACUUCAGUUAGCUGCGGUGUCGUCGUCAGAUGAGAUAAAGAUAGGCUAGCACGUACCCCAAGCUGUUGCUUUAGUUUGCUCAUGCGUGUGCCUUACGUAUGCGUGUGCAGGCUACUACCCAUCCGCGGCUGCGGAGCAACGUCAAGGCGGCGGCGAAAAGGGAUUCAUCCAAGGAUGGUAAGUACGCGCCACCACCAGCUGCUCCAUCGAUCGAUAGCACCUCCUUUGUACUCCCUCCGUUUUAAAAUAGAUGAUCCAAUUUUAUACUAAUUUUAAUAUAAAGUUAGUAUAAAGUUGGGUCAUCUAUUCUGAAACAGAGGGAGUAACUUACUUCAUUGUCGCUGAUCUCGAUGUGUCGUGCUUUUCAGCCUGGCCGCGCUCUGCUGCUGCUGGAUCUGCGACAUGUGCUGCGACUAACUCGCCGGUCGCUGCCGGCACAAGACGUUGGUGCUAGUAUAGACCUAUGAAGAGCAUACACACAGAGAGACUCGUUGCUUAGUUAAGUGUUUGUUUGUUGUUUUAGGUAGUGCAAAAAAUACCCCGCAAAAAAAAAAAGUAGUGCAGAAAAUAACCGAGAACCCAUGCAUGAGUGGUGUCCAUGUAACUUACCGUGCGUAUCGAUAAUUCUACACCUACGAAAGUUCUAUGUAGGGUUACGUAACCUUCCAUAAAAUCCCCCCCCCCCUAUUUUAACCGGGGUGGGCCCCAGCUGCAAAUCCUGGC